ACGGGUGAGUAAUACUUAGGAAUCUGCCUAUUAAUGGGGGACAACAUCUCGAAAGGGAUGCUAAUACCGCAUACGCCCUACGGGGGAAAGCAGGGGAUCACUUGUGACCUUGCAUUAAUAGAUGAGCCUAAGUCGGAUUAGCUAGUUGGUGGGGUAAAGGCCUACCAAGGUGACGAUCUGUAGCGGGUCUGAGAGGAUGAUCCGCCACACUGGGACUGAGACACGGCCCAGACUCCUACGGGAGGCAGCAGUGGGGAAUAUUGGACAAUGGGGGGAACCCUGAUCCAGCCAUGCCGCGUGUGUGAAGAAGGCCUUAUGGUUGUAAAGCACUUUAAGCGAGGAGGAGGCUCUUCUAGUUAAUACCUAGGAUGAGUGGACGUUACUCGCAGAAUAAGCACCGGCUAACUCUGUGCCAGCAGCCGCGGUAAUACAGAGGGUGCGAGCGUUAGUCGGAUUUACUGGGCGUAAAGCGUGCGUAGGCGGCUUUUUAAGUCGGAUGUGAAAUCCCCGAGCUUAACUUGGGAAUUGCAUUCGAUACUGGGAAGCUAGAGUAUGGGAGAGGAUGGUAGAAUUCCAGGUGUA
rnacentral:rRNA from 1 species